AUUAACAAGACACCUGUGUGAACAGCCAUUGAAAUCUGGUAAAUUAGUGUCAUAAUUUAAUGCAGAGAAUUACAUAUGAAUCUACAUAUCUAGGCUAGGAAAAGUGGAGAGAAGAAGGCUUAAAUCUUACUAUGUGAUACUGAGGGAUAGGGCCAAUUUUAGCAUGUGGAUGAAAUCCAGACACGCUGAAUAGAUGAGACCUUAAAACACACGAGGACUGGUGUGUCCAUAACCAGCUUCUGUUGGCAACAUGAAGAAUUCCCUGUGAAGGGACUCAAGGUCUGUGUUUGACAUGUGUGGAUAGUGGAGAAGUUUUGACCUUGUCUUUCUUAACCAGAAAUGUAAGAACUUGCUGAUUGAUGCUUUCCCUGCUUGGUCACUCCAGAAAAAAAAAAUGUGAGGAUGCUGACAGACUGAAAUGUUAAUGCAUUAAACCAAAUCAAAAGCAGUGCUAGUGGCCUUGCUAGGGAUGACACUCAACUCUGGGAAACAUGAAAGACCUUUUUGAGGACCAAAUAUUUAUCUUCCAGACACACUGCAUCCACAUUUGUGACCAGGAGAAACAUAGAAAUGUCUCUGGGGAAGGCUGUGAUCUCAUGAAGGGUUGUCUCAAAGAGGAUUUCUGCAUGCAUGCAGAGAAGGAUAAACAAACCAUGGAGCUCAUUGGAGGCCAAAAGAAAUUGGGCAGAUUUUUGCUUCAAUUAUGGCAGAGCACUAGUGAGAGCAAGGAUUUCCUGUCAUGAAGUAAGAAAACUCCCCAGGUCAUAGAUCCUGGGCUCUGUGCGAGCUGGCAAUGCUUGAGAUGUGCUGCACAAAGAGCUCAAAACCUCCACUUUUUGCUCUUUCAGUAGCUUUUCCCUGAACUGUUUGCAAAUGUACACAAGCUUUUCUUUGAAGGACACUUCAGUUCCUCAGUUGGCUAAGACAGACUUGGGAAUGAGUAAAUGACCUUGCAGAAAGUUACAGCUUUCAGGAUUUUCUGCUCCUCUCUUCUUUUAGCCCAUUUUUGCCCUCAGUGAGAUGUAUCUGCCUUUUCCUAAGCUGUGUCACAGUCAAAAGGAUCACCAGUACCAAAACCCCAAUUUUCUAGGAACAUCUCCAUUACUGCAGAAAUGUGGUGUUCCAUUUAGAUCUCACAGGCACGUCCUCGGGGGUUAUUUUGAGAGGUGAUGGUGGCAAUACCUUGUCUUGUCUCCACAAUGAGUCCACUCAGCACAGGAUAGUUGACCCUUUCCACCUGGCCAUAACUGAGCAGGAUUUGAGGUUAUGGACCAACCACUGCCCUGCUUUGGUUGUCUGGCUCAAUGAGCUGCUCUGGAUGGCUGUUUUAGAUGAACGACUGAUUUUGGUGAUUUGAAGAUCAUCUCCAUUCCAUCACCAGACACGACUGAUUCUACAAACCAGUUGAACAGACAGCACAUCUUAAUGAACCAGUAAAUAUCAGCAUGAAUCAUCAUGAAUUCUCAUUAGUCACAAACUGUUAAUUAGCUGUGACCUCUGUGGCACAUGUACAAAUAUCUCUUUUCCAGACCUCUCUCCUAACAGACACAUAAUCAUAGGAUCACAUAAUGGUUUGGUUAGAAAGCACCUUAAAGUUUAUCCAGUUCCAACCCUCCUGACAUGGACAGCAACACUUCCACUCUCUCAAAGCCCCAUCCAACCUGGGCAUCCAACCCAUCCAAAGCCUCUUAAAGAUUGUUCAAAGCCCCAUCCAACCUGGCCUUGGACACUUCCAGGGAUGGGGCAGCCACAGCUUCUCUGUACAGCUUGUUCUCUAGACUUCCAGUAUCUCACCACUCUGAGAGUAAAGAAUUUCUUCCUGAUAUCUAACCUAAAUUUCUCCUCUUUUAUUAUAAACUCAUUCCCCCUUGUCCUAUCAUUCUAUGUCCUGCUGAGACUGAUUUUCGAUGGAGCGCCAUUUGUGGGGUGCUCCACAAAUCCCUCUCCAGGUUGUAAAAACCAGAGGGAUAACUUGCCAUAACCACAUAUUUAUAUGACUCUAAGCCUUCACCAGUUAUCUGACUGUUUGUUCCUAUUCUCCAAGAAAAGCUUUUUAAGGCAAGAGAGUCUGAAGGCAAGGCAGCAGAAGGAAACAAAAUCCUCCAUGGUUUGGGCUUAAAUCUGUAUCAUUUCACAGAUGAUCUGAACCACCACCAAAAUGACAUCAUCUAGUAUCUUGUCUUACCAAGACCAGCCCUUGACAGCUCAUGGCAACACAAAAACAACUUCAGAGAGAAAUGGAAAAUGGGAGGUGAUUUCUUUUCUCCCAUACUCAUUAAUUUGCAAACAGAUCUCCAUUAGACAAUCCCAAAGCUUAAGAUGUCCUCAGCUCUCCCAAAUAUUGCUUACAUUUACUAUUAUUACUACUCUAGUUAUUCUUGUUAGUUUAACACCAUAUCUAAACAUCCCAAGUUGAUUUUGAAGGGAGUGUGGAUGGAAAUGUGAGGGGUUUAUUUAUUUUUAAUAAGGAUAAGCUCAGGCAUUAGAAACCUACUCUGUUUUCCCUGUUUUCGUAUCAGUCCCCAAGCAUGCUUCUACCACCAUCUUACAAACUCAGACUGACACCGAGCUGAUAAAUUGACAGAAAGUAUCAAAUGUCAGCUAGGGCUCUGAUUCCCUCUGGAGGCUCCUGGGAACAAAGUAUGAACAGAUUGUUCAUGCCAGAAUACCUCAUUAUUUUAAGCAAAUUGACUUUCUUAUUGACUACAUUGAAAGGUUGUACACUACUUAUAAUUACCAGUUCUACUUAAUUUUCUUUUGUAAAAAGGUCUGUACUCUCUACUUGACAGUAUUAUUUUGAUUAACCUACUUUUUGCCCCAAGAGGCCAUUUAAUAUUUAAAAAAGAAUGGCUUGAUUGUACAGAUGUAUAGCACAUGCACACGAUUAUUGUUAUAAUCACCCAUAUCUAAUCUGAAUGGUGAAGUGCAUUACACUACAUUUUGCAAUGAACUAUGAGAUUUUGUAGUGCUGGUGAGGUUAACAGCAGUAUACACAUAAAAAAAAAAAAAAAAAAAAAGUCCUGCAACUGCAGGAACACAAAGGGCAAUCUACCAGAAAAUACAAUGGUGUGAUGUGAAGCAAGAAGAUUAGAAGAUGUGUUUCACACCCCUUGAUUUCAGUUUGUGACUAUUUUAUGAUCACUAUAUUUGGCUGAUGUUUUAUUGCUAAUAAUAAUAUGAUAUAUUAAUUUUUACAUUCUCCUUGCUACUGCUAUCAAA